GGGUCUAUAGCUCAGUUGGCAGAGCAUUCGGCUCAUAACCGACAGGUCCUAGGUUCAAACCCUAGUGGACCCACCA
rnacentral:tRNA from 1 species